rnacentral:rRNA from 1 species
GUGGGGAAUCUUCCGCAAUGGACGAAAGUCUGACGGAGCAACGCCGCGUGAGUGAAGAAGGUUUUCGGAUCGUAAAGCUCUUUCGUUAGGGACGAACGUGCUCUUUGUGAAUAAUGAGGAGUAAUGACGGUACCUAAAUAAGAUGCCACGGCUAACUACGUGCCAGCAGCCGCGGUAAUACGUAGGUGGCAAGCGUUGUCCGGAAUUAUUGGGCGUAAAGCGCGCGCAGGCGGGAUAUCAAGUCUGUCUUAAAAGUGCGAGGCUCAACCUCGUGAGGGGACAGAAACUGGUAUUCUUGAGUGUCGGAGAGGAAAGUGGAAUUCCAAGUGUAGCGGUGAAAUGCGUAGAGAUUUGGAAGAACACCAGUGGCGAAGGCGACUUUCUGGACGAUGUCUGACGCUGAGGCGCGAAAGCUAGGGGAGCGAACGGGAUUAGAAACCCUAGUAGUCC